rnacentral:rRNA from 1 species
GACGAACGCUGGCGGCGUGCUUAACACAUGCAAGUCGAGCGAUGAAGCACCUACGGGUGUGAAUUAGCGGCGAACGGGUGAGGAACACGUGAGAAAUCUGCCUUCAACUCUGGGAUAACUCCGGGAAACCGGGGCUAAUACCGGAUAUGAGCCUUGAUCGCAUGAUCGGGGCUGGAAAGUUUUUCGGUUGAAGAUGAUCUCGCGGCCUAUCAGCUUGUUGGUGAGGUAAUGGCUCACCAAGGCGACGACGGGUAGCCGGCCUGAGAGGGCCACCGGCCACACUGGGACUGAGGCACGGCCCAGACUCCUACGGGAGGCAGCAGUGGGGAAUAUUGGGCAAUGGAGGAAACUCUGACCCAGCGACGCCGCGUGAGGGAUGAAGGCCUUCGGGUUGUAAACCUCUUUCAGUAGGGAAGAAGCGAAAGUGACGGUACCUACAGAAGAAGCACCGGCUAACUAUGUGCCAGCAGCCGCAGUAAUAC